rnacentral:rRNA from 1 species
ACGGCUCAGUAACACGUGGACAACCUGCCCUUAGGACGGGGAUAAACCCGGGAACCUGGGUAUAAUACCCGAUAGGUCUCGAUUGCUGGAAUGCAUCGAGAUUUAAAGCUCCGGCGCCUAAGGAUGGGUCUGCGGCCUAUCAGGUAGUAGUGGGUGUAGCGUACCUACUAGCCUACGACGGGUACGGGUUGUGAGAGCAAGAGCCCGGAGAUGGAUUCUGAGACACGAAUCCAGGCCCUACGGGGUGCAGCAGGCGCGAAAACUUUACAAUGCUGGCAACAGCGAUAAGGGAACCUCGAGUGCCAGGUUACAAAUCUGGCUGUCGAGAUGCCUAAAAAGCAUUUCAUAGCAAGGGCCGGGCAAGACCGGUGCCAGCCGCCGCGGUAACACCGGCGGCUCGAGUGGUAACCGUCAUUAUUGGGUCUAAAGGGUCUGUAGCCGGCCGGAUAAGUCUCUUGAGAAAUCUGGCAGCUUAACUGUCAGGCUUUCAGGAGAUACUGUCUGGCUCGAGGCCGGGAGAGGUGAGAGGUACUUCAGGGGUAGGGGUGAAAUCUUGUAAUCCUUGAAGGACCACCAGUGGCGAAGGCGUCUCACCAGAACGGACCUGACGGCAAGGGACGAAAGCUAGGGGCACGAACCGGAUUAGAUACCCGGGUAGUCCUAGCCGUAAACGAUACUCGCUAGGUGUCGGCCACGGUGCGACCGUUGUCGGUGCCGUAGGGAAGCCGUGAAGCGAGCCACCUGGGAAGUACGGCCGCAAGGCUGAAACUUAAAGGAAUUGGCGGGGGAGCAC